rnacentral:rRNA from 1 species
CGGCGGACGGGUGAGUAAUGUCUGGGAAACUGCCCGAUGGAGGGGGAUAACUACUGGAAACGGUAGCUAAUACCGCAUAACGUCGCAAGACCAAAGAGGGGGACCUUCGGGCCUCUUGCCAUCGGAUGUGCCCAGAUGGGAUUAGCUAGUAGGUGGGGUAACGGCUCACCUAGGCGACGAUCCUUAGCUGGUCUGAGAGGAUGACCAGCCACACUGGAACUGAGACACGGUCCAG